ensembl:lncRNA
AGCGUAUCUAGUCUGCUAUGUCUCUAUGGUAGGCACGUCUGGUAGCAUCUGUGGCUGCUGUUGAUCUUGUUUUUGGAGUAAAACACGCUGAAUUAGUGAGGAUGACUCCUGCUCCUGUCAUCUCUAAGCUCCUCACACAUCUUUACCUGCACAUGAGGAAAAUCACUCCUGUAGAAUGCAGAUGUUCAGAGGGAGAUGAUGCCACAUCUGGUCCAGCUGAUGGAAGGUCUUGAAGUUCUCUGACUGGCCUCGACUGAAGAUGGUCGUCUCACUGGAUUUAAGGUUCAGAUGCUCAGUAACAAACUCCACCAAUGAGCCAACAGGGAAGCUUUAGGUUUAUUAAAUGUUGCUAUGAAGGUAUCGCUGUUUUUCUUUGUGAAUGCAAUGUGCUCCAACUGAAACUUGAAUUAGAACUUAGAAGUAAAUCCUUCCAUCUGAAAGGAUCUAGAUGUAUUAAUAACCUCAUAACAUUUUAAUUUUUAUUCCAGUCUUGGUUGGAAAUAGAAUCUCUGCAUUGAUUCAGGUAAAAACUGAACUUUACAGCAUGUUGGAGCAAAACAACCAGAUGAAAACUGUGAUGGUGUUGGAUUGUCAGACCGUAAUGUUGCAGCUCAAAGCAGCUUUUCUAUCUCAGUUCAUUCUGACAUUCAGCUAUGAAUCAACACAGCAGAUGGUGAUCCAUGCUGUGGAAGUCUCACAUCUCCUGAUUUAAUGGAGCUGCUUUGCACUUUUUACAGUUUAUUCACCAACACUUUAUUUAAUAAAAGUCCCAUGUAGUUUUUAUGAGGACUGUGAGGUUUUAAUUUCUCUGUGAAUAACUGCAGUCUAAUGCAACAGCUGGAGUUGUAACAUCUGUCCUGAUAUUGAUCAUGAAGUAUUGAUCAGAAUACUUAUGGUCAGCAGUCAUCCCUGAAGUUUUACAUUAAAAUCUUUACUUGUGUUGUGAACUUUGGUAAGAAGCAGAAACUUUAGCGUUGCCAUGGAUACAUGAGUGUUAAAUUCUGUCCAGGUUUCCAUUUUGGGAAAUGCAGUCCAGCAGAUGAGUUUGUUUUUACUGCCAGCUACUAUUCAGUCUGAGAUAUUAAGAAUAAAUAAAUGUGCAUAAUGUGGAAAUGAACAUAUUUUAUUUUUAUUUAUUCCUACAGAAACAGUGUUCAUUUGAUGAACUUCAUUUCCUAAAACAUCCAGAAUUGGAGCUCAUAUCUUUGGCAGCUGUAAAGUUUCUGCUCCUUCAAAGUUCACAACACAAUGAAUGAAUUCCUAAAACACUCUCAAUGCUGGAGAGCGUUUGUGAUGCUGAAGCAGUGACCAGUUUUUCUGUUUCUUCUCUGGAGAUGCACAAUGAGGGACGUCUGCAGAGACUGAGAAAGAGUCUCACCACAUCCUGACAUGAAGAAAAAGACUUUAUUGAAGACUACAAUGAGAAAAACUAUCAGACAGCAGACGGCUGCAUUCAAGUCUGUAGCUGCUGAAUUCAUGGAUGAAUCAUCUGGCACUAGAGAGGAAGACCAUCAAACAUCCAUGUCAGCUGAUGGAGCUCCAAGAGUCUCACCCAACAAACAACCUACAGAGUGAAGACCUCAAAUCUGAUUGGAUGGCCUAGUAUUCAGCCGCGUGUGAACAAAUGCCUCUAAGUUGAUUUGUUUUCUAAAAUAAAUCUAGUUUGAGUCCUAAUCUAUGCCUGUAUGUUUGCUUCUUUACACUGCUGUUAACAGUUUAGGCUGUUA